GACGAACGCUGGCGGCGUGCCUAAUACAUGCAAGUCGAGCGGACCAAAGGGAGCUUGCUCCUGGAGGUCAGCGGCGAACGGGUGAGUAACACGUGGGCAACCUGCCUGUAAGACUGGGAUAACAUCGAGAAAUCGGUGCUAAUACCGGAUAAUAAAAAGAACUGCAUGGUUCUUUUUUGAAAGAUGGUUUCGGCUAUCACUUACAGAUGGGCCCGCGGCGCAUUAGCUAGUUGGUGAGGUAACGGCUCACCAAGGCAACGAUGCGUAGCCGACCUGAGAGGGUGAUCGGCCACACUGGGACUGAGACACGGCCCAGACUCCUACGGGAGGCAGCAGUAGGGAAUCUUCCGCAAUGGACGAAAGUCUGACGGAGCAACGCCGCGUGAGUGAUGAAGGUUUUCGGAUCGUAAAACUCUGUUGUUAGGGAAGAACAAGUGCCGUUCGAAAGGGCGGCACCUUGACGGUACCUAACGAGAAAGCCACGGCUAACUACGUAGCCAGCAG
rnacentral:rRNA from 1 species